rnacentral:misc_RNA from 1 species
UUUCCGUAGGUGAACCUGCGGAAGGAUCAUUGUCGAAACCUGCCCAGCAGAGCGACCAGAGAACAUGUUUAUCAUGAACGGGGAUGUGGUGAAAGCCCCAUCCCUAAGCUGGGAUGGUACUCCGCCUCGGUGGGGUAUCUUCUCAGCAAAAUAACGAACCCCGGCGCGGUCUGCGCCAAGGAACAUGGAUACAACAUGGAUACAAGUGUGCCCUUCUGCAGCUGGUUCGCCAGAUGUAGAGGUGGCACCAAGUCGUAUAUAACAUUAAACGACUCUCGGCAACGGAUAUCUCGGCUCUC